GGCGAGCUGUGGCGGCGCUGUAGGAGGGCGAGGACAGCAGCAGCAAAUUGCUGCGCGGAGAGCACCGCCGGUGCUUCAAAGUGCGGCCAAUCGGGAGAAAUAUGAGGCCGAGUAGUAUAUUUUUCCUUUUUUCUUUUAAUGUGAAAAGUCUGUUGUACCCCUUCCUAAUACUCCACCUAAACUCCGUGGAGUAUUAGGUACAGGAGAAAACGUGGUCCAUGGUCAUGACAUCUACUCUGCAGGACCUACUGUUUUAUGUUUUUGCAUUUUAGAGUACA
rnacentral:lncRNA from 1 species